rnacentral:rRNA from 1 species
AGAGCGAACGCUGGCGGCAGGCCUAAUACAUGCAAGUCGAACGGAUCCUUCGGGAUUAGUGGCGGACGGGUGAGUAACACGUGGGAACGUGCCCUUUGGUUCAGAACAACUCAGGGAAACUUGAGCUAAAUACUGGAUAAGCCCUUCGGGGGAAAGAUUUAUCGCCAUUGGAGCGGCCCGCGUCUGAUUAGCUAGUUGGUAGGGUAAAGGCCUACCAAGGCUACGAUCAGUAGCUGGUCUGAGAGGAUGAUCAGCCACACUGGGACUGAGACACGGCCCAGACUCCUACGGGAGGCAGCAGUAGGGAAUCUUGCGCAAUGGGCGAAAGCCUGACGCAGCCAUGCCGCGUGAAUGAUGAAGGUCUUAGGAUUGUAAAAUUCUUUCAGCGGGACGAUAAUGACGGUACCGCAGAAGACGCCCCGGCUAACUUCGCGCCAGCAGCCGC